rnacentral:rRNA from 1 species
GCUUGUCUCAAAGAUUAAGCCAUGCAUGUCUAAGUAUAAACAACUUUAUACUGUAAAACUGCGAACGGCUCAUUAUAUCAGCAAUAAUUUAUUUGAUGGUUUCUUACCCCAUGGAUAACUGUGGUAAUUCUAGAGCUAAUACAUGCGUAAAGUCCCGACUCUUUCUGGGGAGGGAUGUAUUUAUUAGAUAAAAAACCAAUGCGGGUUCUGCCCGGUUUUGUGUUGAAUCAUAGUAACUUUUCGAAUCGCAUGGCCUUGCGCCGGCGAUGUUUCAUUCAAAUUUCUGCCCUAUCAAUUUGAUGGUAGGAUAGAGGCCUACCAUGGUGGUAACGGGUGACGGAGAAUUAGGGUUCGAUUCCGGAGAGGGAGCCUGAGAAACGGCUACCACAUCCAAGGAAGGCAGCAGG